UACAGGGGGUGCAAACGUUGCUCGGAAUCAUUGGGCGUAAAGCGCACGUAGGCGGUUCGUUAUGUCGGAUGUGAAAGCCCUUGGCUUAACCGAGGAAGUGCAUCCGAAACUGGCGAGCUAGAGUACGAAAGAGGAUCGCGGAAUUCCCGGUGUAGAGGUGAAAUUCGUAGAUAUCGGGAGGAACACCGGUGGCGAAGGCGGCGAUCUGGGUCGAUACUGACGCUGAGGAGCGAAAGCGUGGGGAGCGAACAGG
rnacentral:rRNA from 1 species